GGAACUCGCAGAUGCGGCGGAGCGUCAAGGGCGACAGGGGCGGCGGCGUCAAGGCCCGCGGCGCAGGAGAAGAGAGAAGGUGAGAUGACGAUGACAACUGGGACCCACGCCAGAGGGGAGCUUUUCCGUUUUGAGGGUACCAUUGCAAGGAGGCUAACAGAAAAUUCCUUACACUGCAAGAUCAAGCCAACGACUACAAUAGAAUGAGAGCGUGAGAUGAAAAAAUAGAAAAACCGAAUCUGUACCACUGGAUGGAAGAUCGAUGUCCCAGAUUCAGGUGGAGCGAUCUGGGUACACAACUUGCAAAAAGCUCCCUCGCUGAAGGUUAAUUUCUUCCCGAUGUCCUCGUUCAAACCCAAUCCCGUACGUACGUAGUCGCAGCGACCUAAAAUUCCCCUCCACAACGGCGGCGCCGGCGCCGGCGCCGGGCCGGAUCCCUCAAGCAAGCUGGGCGAGUACGCACACCGGAGGUGAUGUUCCAUCUCUCCGAUGGCUCGUGCCCGCCGUGCCUCCGAAUCGCCGAUGGUCCAGUUUGAAGCCAACCAGAUCGGAGCUCCUGGAGUGCUAAGAUCCGCGCCGCAGUGUGUUCGUCACGACCUCCCAUCUCAGGCUCCGGCAGCGACUGGUUCGUCACCGCCUCUACAGCAUCAGCUCGCGUCCUCCUCGACCUCGUCGGCUGCAAAUCGUUGGUGAGCUCCUCGGCUCCUUCCGGACCAGCCCCUGUGACGUGGUGCGAACCUACAAGGUGUUACCAUGGUGGUUAACUUUUCUGUUUGAUUUCUCCCAGGACAAGAAGCUCGAGCAAGAAGAACUACGGCUGGAGGCAACUGUUGUGUACCAUCAACAUAGAAACGUUGAUGCAGUUUUUAGUCGCAAUGUUUGUUGAGUGAUGAUUAUUAGUCCUUUGGACUAAGCAUUGCCUGCGAUGUACAGUACCCUAAUGCAAUUUUUGCUAACAAUGCUUGUUGAUCCUGUCAUGUUAUUUAUUACUUGA